rnacentral:rRNA from 1 species
GACGAACGCUGGCGGCGUGCCUAAUACAUGCAAGUAGAACGCUGAAGGAGGAGCUUGCUUCUCUGGAUGAGUUGCGAACGGGUGAGUAACGCGUAGGUAACCUGCCUGGUAGCGGGGGAUAACUAUUGGAAACGAUAGCUAAUACCGCAUAAGAGUAGAUGUUGCAUGACAUUUGCUUAAAAGGUGCAAUUGCAUCACUACCAGAUGGACCUGCGUUGUAUUAGCUAGUUGGUGGGGUAACGGCUCACCAAGGCGACGAUACAUAGCCGACCUGAGAGGGUGAUCGGCCACACUGGGACUGAGACACGGCCCAGACUCCUACGGGAGGCAGCAGUAGGGAAUCUUCGGAAAUGGACGGAAGUCUGACCGAGCAACGCCGCGUGAGUGAAGAAGGGUUUCGGAUCGUAAAGCUCUGUUGUAAGAGAAGAACGAGUGUGAGAGUGGAAAGUUCACACUGUGACGGUAGCUUACCAGAAAGGGACGGCUAACUACGUG